rnacentral:misc_RNA from 1 species
AUGAGCUGCACCCUGACGCAC